CCUUUUACAGCAGGCAGGAGUGACAGAGAGGGGCUUACAGGAGAUGAGGCCGAUGAUGCAGCGAAGUCGGGACCAGGCAGAGAAGUCAGGAUCAGGUGACAAACAGAAACGCUACCGUUGGUACUGAAGAAGCAGGGAGGAAGAGGAGGCAUCUGAGAGGACAAAGGUCACAGGUGUGUAGAAAGGCUGCAGGUGUGAGCGUAACAAGCGCACACUCACAGACAGCUAAUGAUGUUCUCACAAACGUCUGGGUUUGUUAAAGGAGCUACACUUUGUUCCUGGAAAUAAUGAAAAAGGAUGAAAUCAGAAAUGACAUUUCAGCAUCUUUAGCAUCCACAUGGGGCUUUCAGCAGCAUUUACAUCUAUGCCUGGGGG
rnacentral:lncRNA from 1 species